rnacentral:rRNA from 1 species
UACGGAGGGUGCAAGCGUUAUCCGGAUUUACUGGGUUUAAAGGGCGCGCAGGCGGCUCAUUUUGUCAGGCGUGAAAGCCCCGGGCUUAACCUGGGAACUGCGUUUGAUACGGAUGGGCUAGAGUUCGGGAGAGGAGAGUGGAAUUCCCAGUGUAGAGGUGAAAUUCGUAGAUAUUGGGAAGAACACCGGUGGCGAAGGCGGCUCUCUGGACCGAUACUGACGCUGAGGCGCGAAAGCGUGGGGAGCAAACAGG